rnacentral:rRNA from 1 species
UUGUGAUUUCGCAUGGGGGUACCCUGACGCGCNACCCGCGUGCNGGGAGAAGGCCUUCGGGUUGUAAAGCCNUGUUGUNUGGGAAGAGCACAAGACNGUGCCAUACGAGGAAGCCCCGGCAAACUACGUGCCANCAGCCGCGGUAAU